CAGCACUGCAUGUACAAGGAUGCCAGCUGCCGUUAAACCCCGAAGAAGAAGAAGUAGCUCUGUCCCAGAAUUCAUAGUACUCCACUGGAGUAUUGAUUUUAUGUACAAUUCCACGGGUAGACGCGAUCUGUACGGUCCGACUUUGCACGUGCGCAGCGGAGAGAGGUCGUGGAGUGUCAGCCUAUGGUAUCUGAGGUCCAGGAGAGAUGACCUGCGCUGUUUUCCUCUGAGGAGGUAUUGUUUAGAUAUCUGAACAUUUCAUCGGAUCACAAGCAAAGACCUCCUGGGGACCUUCAAUGCAUCCCUUGACAAAGUUGUGCCUGGCCUGCUGAAACUGUACUGGUCUAAGAAGGGAGCUCUUGGUGAGGAGAUGGAAGACCUCCUGGAUAAACUUGAUGAACAGACAUCCAACACUGUGUCCAACGGGCACUGAGAGGCCUGCCCAUUUUCCUCAAGACAAGAUGCAACAGAGGUUUUCCUGAAGUGCUUAGACACUGACAUUUUGGAACCAGUGUUGAACGGUGCAUCAGUUGCCAUCCUCACCAUCCUACAAGAUGACGAUGCUGAUACGUCUGUGCGAGAACAUCCAGUUGUGUUGGAAGGGGACAUCGUGCUACAUAACAUUCCAG
ensembl:lncRNA